UGUACAAAGGAUCAUGAAUUCAGCCACAAAAGAACAAGAGCAUCCUUGUCGUGCAAUCCACAUUGCAUUCCCUUUGGAUUCCCAUGCAUGCUUAAUCAUCCUUGUCCCCUAAAAUAUUUCUGAUUUCAUGCCCCAAUACACUUAAUUAUCACACUCAAUUGCUGCAUACCUCUUGUUCCCUUCACCCAUCUGAUUUCACACAACUUUCACAACCAUUCCAUGCACCAAUUGAUGCUCUAUCAUCCACAUUUGGGAUCCAAUGCCGUGUGC
rnacentral:lncRNA from 1 species